AUUGAACGCUGGCGGCAGGGCUAACACAUGUUAGUCGAGCGAGCGGCGGACGGGUGAGUAAUGUAUGGGGACUGCCCGAUCGAGGGGGAUAACUACUGGCAACGGUGGCUACUACCGAAUACUAUCGGAUACCCCAUAUGGGAUUAGCUAGUAGGUGGGGUAAAGGCUAACCUAGGCGACGAUCACUAGCUGGUCUGAGAGGAUGGACAGCCACACUGGGACUGAGAAACGGCCCAGACUCCUACGGAGGCAGCAGUGGAGAAUAUUGCACAAUGGGCGCAAGCCUGAUGCAGCCAUGACGCGUGGAUGAAGAAGGUCUUAGGGUUGUAAAGUACUUUCAGCGGGGAGGCGGUACCUGCAUAAGAAGCACCGGCUAACUCCGUGCCAGCAGCCGCGGUAAUAC
rnacentral:rRNA from 1 species